rnacentral:lncRNA from 1 species
GUUCGCUUCUCUGUGAUUUUUCUGGUGUUUUGUGACCUUAUCUCUGGGCCAAGAAUUUGUCUCUUUUGUGUCUGAAUUUUGCUGGGAAUUUAUUGGUACAAAGAAGUCGCGUGUUGGGCUCAUCAAUCUCCAGCCAGAGAUCGGGGAAUUCGGGACACGACUGGCAGGAAAGGAAUGGAAGCCCAGUCGCCUGAGCUACAACAUUUUUCACGCUUCUCUCUUUUGGCCAAAAAGCAGAAGAGUCUAACAAAUUAAUUAUUGUAUGUGGAUUAAGCUGGGAUGAGGAUUUAAAUAUCUGUCUGCCUUUGGUAUGCGCUCUCCUC